rnacentral:rRNA from 1 species
UUUCCUACGGGGGGCAGCAGUGGGGAAUAUUGCGCAAUGGGGGAAACCCUGACGCAGCAACGCCGCGUGCGGGAUGAAGGCUUUCGGGUUGUAAACCGCUUUCAGCAGGGAAGAUAGUGACGGUACCUGCAGAAGAAGCCCCGGCUAAAUACGUGCCAGCAGCCGCGGUAAUACGUAUGGUGCAAGCGUUAUCCGGAUUUACUGGGUGUAAAGGGAGCGCAGGCGGCGCGUUAAGCCUGGUGUGAAAGCCCGCGGCCCAACCGCGGGACUGCAUUGGGAACUGGCGCGCUGGAGUGCCGGAGGGG